UACGAAGGGGGCUAGCGUUGCUCGGAAUCACUGGGCGUAAAGGGUGCGUAGGCGGGUCUUUAAGUCAGAGGUGAAAUCCUGGAGCUCAACCUCAGAACUGCCUUUGAUACUGAGGGUCUUGAGUAUGACAGAGGUGAGUGGAACUGCGAGUGUAGAGGUGAAAUUCGUAGAUAUUCGCAAGAACACCAGUGGCGAAGGCGGCUCACUGGCCCGAUACUGACGCUGAGGCACGAAAGCGUGGGGAGCAAACAGG
rnacentral:rRNA from 1 species